UAGCAACAUGGUGAUGGUGUUCACCACGAACUAUUUAUUGGACGAAUAAAUUAAUGACGCCUACCAAACG
rnacentral:ncRNA from 25 species